CUUAGGAAGGAAAUUUAACAUGAUUUCCCAGAUAUUAAAACUGAGAAAUAAUUUUAAAUUUCCUUCCUAACUUAAAUACAACUACUGAAUGCAAAUAUCCUGCACGGGAUCUCUUAGUCAUCUUGAAGUAGUAAUAACUGUAAUAGUACCUUUUUCUUAAUUACAGAUAGGUAGCUCAGUAACUGAAUUGAAGAUGAGUCAGCAUCAAAAGGAGGAGGCAGAUUCAGGAUACAUGAGAAAUUAUAUUACAUUAAUAAUAGAAGAGGACUGAAAAUUCUUUUAAAAGGUGAAGAAAGCAAGAUGAUGGAUUCCCUGCUUGAAGAGUUCCUGGACUAAAACAGAGGGCCCUCAUGGUAAUAUUCAAACAAACCAUAUUCCACCUCAUUUACAUCUGUGACACAUUGUAAGACAACUACUUUAUUAUGCCACUAGUAUACAUCAAUUCUAACUUACUGUAAAGAGCGUGAUGAGAACAAAAUAUUUUA